AUUGAACGCUGGCGGCAUGCCUUACACAUGCAAGUCGAACGGUAACAGGUCUUCGGAUGCUGACGAGUGGCGAACGGGUGAGUAAUACAUCGGAACGUGCCUAGUAGUGGGGGAUAACUACUCGAAAGAGUGGCUAAUACCGCAUGAGAGCUACGGAUGAAAGCAGGGGAUCGCAAGACCUUGUGCUACUAAAGCGGCCGAUGGCAGAUUAGGUAGUUGGUGGGAUAAAAGCUUACCAAGCCGACGAUCUGUAGCUGGUCUGAGAGGACGAUCAGCCACACUGGGACUGAGACACGGCCCAGACUCCUACGGGAGGCAGCAGUGGGGAAUUUUGGACAAUGGGCGCAAGCCUGAUCCAGCAAUGCCGCGUGCAGGAUGAAGGCCUUCGGGUUGUAAACUGCUUUGUACGGAACGAAAAGCCCUGGGUUAAUACCCUGGGGUCAUGACGGUACCGUAAGAAUAAGCACCGGCUAACUACGUGCCAGCCGCCGCGGUAAUAC
rnacentral:rRNA from 1 species